rnacentral:hammerhead_ribozyme from 1 species
AUCCAGUUGAUGAGUCCCAAACAGGGCAAAACGCGUGUCCUGCAU